AGAAGAAAGACAGAGGAGGUAAGAAAGGGCUCUCUGGGAUGGGCACCAUAAAAGCUAGAAGUCCAAUACCUAUGUAUUGGCAAGCACGUGCUCUCUCUUUAGGCCCUCUAGCUUUUAUGGUGCCCAUCCCAGAGAGCCCUUUCUUACCUCCUCUGUCCUUCUUCAU
rnacentral:miRNA from 1 species